AUUUGUGCAAGUCUUCUCCAAUUCGCACCUUAAAAUGCGUGUGUGGGAGCGUGGUGCAGGUGCGACACUUGCUUGUGGAACCGGAGCCUGUGCAGUCGUUGUUGCAGCAGUUCUUGAAGGUCGUGCUGGACGGAAUUGCACUGUUGAUCUGCCUGGAGGACCAUUACAGAUAGAGUGGAGCGAGCAAGACAACCACGUAUACAUGACUGGACCAGCCGAAGUAGUGUUCUAUGGAUCGGUUCCCCUACAAUAAAAGCAACCUAAAGAAUCAGGACAAAAGCAACUGUCAAAUUUUG
rnacentral:misc_RNA from 1 species